rnacentral:snRNA from 1 species
GUCUUCAUAAUAGUUGUCAACCAU